UACGUAGGGUGCAAGCGUUAAUCGGAAUUACUGGGCGUAAAGCGUGCGCAGGCGGUUGUGCAAGACCGAUGUGAAAUCCCCGGGCUUAACCUGGGAAUGGCAUUGGUGACUGCACGGCUAGAGUGUGUCAGAGGGGGGUAGAAUUCCACGUGUAGCAGUGAAAUGCGUAGAGAUGUGGAGGAACACCGAUGGCGAAGGCAGCCCCCUGGGCUGAGAUUGACGCUCAGGCACGAAAGCGUGGGGAGCAAACAGG
rnacentral:rRNA from 1 species